rnacentral:rRNA from 1 species
CUCUUCUGGAUGAGUUGCGAACGGGUGAGUAACGCGCAGGUAACCUGCCUGGUAGCGGGGGAUAACUAUUGGAAACGAUAGCUAAUACCGCAUAAUAGUAGAUGUUGCAUGACAUUUGCUUAAAAGGUGCAAUUGCAUCACUACCAGAUGGACCUGCGUUGUAUUAGCUAGUUGGUGGGGUAACGGCUCACCAAGGCGACGAUACAUAGCCGACCUGAGAGGGUGAUCGGCCACACUGGGACUGAGACACGGCCCAGACUCCUACGGGAGGCAGCAGUAGGGAAUCUUCGGCAAUGGACGGAAGUCUGACCGAGCAACGCCGCGUGAGUGAAGAAGGUUUUCGGAUCGUAAAGCUCUGUUGUAAGAGAAGAACGAGUGUGAGAGUGGAAAGUUCACACUGUGACGGUAUCUUACCAGAAAGGGACGGCUAACUACGUGCCAGCAGCCGCGGUAAUACGUAGGUCCCGAGCGUUGUCCGGAUUUAUUGGGCGUAAAGCGAGCGCAGGCGGUUAGAUAAGUCUGAAGUUAAAGGCUGUGGCUUAACCAUAGUACGCUUUGGAAACUGUUUAACUUGAGUGCAAGAGGGGAGAGUGGAAUUCCAUGUGUAGCGGUGAAAUGCGUAGAUAUAUGGAGGAAC